GAAUUUUCCGCAAUGGGCGAAAGCCUGACGGAGCAACGCCGCGUGAGGGAGGAAGGCCUUAGGGUUGUAAACCUCUUUUCUCUGGGAAGAAUAACUGACGGUACCAGAGGAAUAAGCCUCGGCUAACUCCGUGCCAGCCGCCGCGGUAAGACGGAGGAGGCAAGCGUUAUCCGGAAUUAUUGGGCGUAAAGCGUCCGCAGGCGGCCAAUUAAGUCUGUUGUCAAAGGUCACAGCUCAACUGUGGAUCGGCAAUGGAAACUGGUUGGCUAGAGUGUGGUAGGGGUAGAGGGAACUCCCGGUGUAGCGGUGAAAUGCGUAGAUAUCGGGAAGAACACCAGUGGCGAAGGCGCUCUACUGGGCCACAACUGACGCUGAGGGACGAAAGCUAGGGGAGCGAAAGGG
rnacentral:rRNA from 1 species